UUUGUUUGUUUGUUUUGGAUAACUGAUCCCACCUUAAUGUGAACAUUGGUGGAAUUAUUUUAAAUGUGACCAAGAAAAUGAGCUGUCAGGAAACAAAAAAAGUUCCAUCUAAGAUCUGUAUUCACACCCAGCUACACAUCAAACAGCUUGAGCUUGAUGGUUUGGUGGCAAAAUGUGGUUCUCUAUGCACCCACUGAGCUCAACUCAUCUAUUCCUACUGAAGGAACAGACGUUCCUGAGGAGCUCACCAAAACAGUUACAGAUAAGUGGGUAAUUCAGGGGAGUAGCUGCUGAACUGUUUUGAAUAUUUCAGUGUCAUAUCUUCAAAGACUGGGAUGGUAUUUCUCAUUCAGACAAGAAAAAGAGAGAAUGUUUUUCUACUUUCAAGUAUUUUUCUACUUUGUCCAUCUCCUCUUUCCUUCUGUAAUGAAAGCAAUAUGGAUAAACUACUUCAUAUGGCAACUGAAGAUCCACUGAACAGGAUCAUGAAGCCAAAUCUACAUUGUUCACAAGGAUGUGCCUUUUUUCAAAAGUCUGGGAAAGGGAGGUAUUUUCAGCUACAUUUAAAUGAAAGAAUGAAAGAAAAUGGAUAUAGGAAAGUCUCAUAGAGCACACAGGAAUUCUGGUUUGUGAUUUAUCUAUAAUGUCACCCUUGUUGUUGAAAACUUGAGGACCUUUUCACUCUGAGACAUUGUCAUGAUAAAAGAAAAGCAAACAAUGAGAAGAUCAAAGUCAUGAAGCAGUGUGGAGAGAAGUGUCAAUACUGUUUUCCUCACCAGCAUUAAGGAGAAACAUUAGAAAUAUAACAGCACAAGACCCAACUCUUUAUACAAGUUCCUUCUG
rnacentral:lncRNA from 1 species